GGGUCUUGGUGCAUUGAUUUAUGCUGGAACUGGAAUAGUGGAAGGAAGUAAUUUAUCUGGAGAGUGGCAGGAACUAGAACUAAAGACUUCUCAGGGUCUUGGUGCAUUGAUUUAUGCUGGAACUGGAAUAGUGGAAGGAAGUAAUUCAUCUGAAGAGUGGGAGGAAAUGGAACUAAAAACAUCUCAAGUUUAUAUACAUACCUGUGUAUGUUUUUUUUCCCCUUGUUUUGGGAAAUGAGGGGAAGGGGGUUUUUAUGGGGGGUUUAUAUGCAUACAAGCUUCUUUGUGUUGGAGACUUGGAGUGAAUCAAGGAUUGAUCAUUUCACAUAAUUCAAAAGUACAUUUGAGGAAUAAUAAUAGGAACUAAAGUCAUUUUGUUUUCUUUCUUCUUCUGUUUUUUUCUUUGUUCAAGAUUUUCAAGAUUUUCUUUGUUCUAAUUCUUAGAAUUUCAAGAUUUUCUUUGUUCUAAUCCAUAUAAUUUUAUAUUCACAUCAUUACCAAAUACUGGCUUUUUUUAUUCGCAGGGUCUUGGUGCAUUGAUUUAUGCUGGAACUGGAAUAGUAGAAGGAAGUAAUUCAUCUGGAGAGUGGGAGGAAUUGGAACUAAAGACAUCUCAGUUUACCAAAUUGAUGAAACUAGAGGUGCCUCUCUAUUGAUACUAAGAAACAGUGACUCGAGGACUACGAACUGUGAAGAUUAGAGGUAAAAAGACUCAGAACUACAUACUACAGUGGGGGUGAAAGCUUUUGACAAGCUUGGAGAUGGAAUGUCAUGAUUUUUGUUUGGUGAUAGGCUCGGAGAAUGAAAUAGCCUUCUUCAUUGAAGCCAGUGAAUGGUAUGUUUAAUACUUUGCUCAUGUGCUCAUAUGGUUUUUUUUUUUACUUGAUUUUUAUUAGUUUUAUCUUUUUAUAUAGAUUAGAGGUAAAAAGACUAGGAACUACAUACUACAGUGGAGGUGAAAGCUUUUGACAAGCUUGGAGAUGGAAUGUCAUGAUCUUUGUUUAGUGACAGUCUCGGAGAAUGAAAUAGCCAGUGACAAGCUUCCAGUUCCAGAGCAUGACCACUUUUCUUUUUUCUUGAAUGAAUGGGACUUUGUGGAUUUAAGUUAUAUAUAUAUAUAUAUGUUGGAUGAUUUGCUGAAACAAUUUGGGUUGAAAAGAUAUGUAACUGAUAUUAUAUUGUUUCUAUUUAUUUUGAUGCCUUAGAUAAACA